rnacentral:rRNA from 1 species
GAUGAACGCUGGCGGCGUGCCUAAUACAUGCAAGUCGAGCGAACGGACGAGAAGCUUGCUUCUCUUAUUUUAGCGUCGGACGGGUGAGUAACACGUGGAUAACCUACCUAUAAGACUGGGAUAACUUCGGGAAACCGGAGCUAAUACCGGAUAAUCUUUUCAACCGCAUGGUUCAAAAGUGAAAGACGUUCUUGCUGUCACUUAUAGAUGGAUCCGCGCUGCAUUAGCUAGUUGGUCAGGUAACGGCUUACCAAGUCAACGAUUCAUAGCCGACCUGAGAGGGUGAUCGGCCACACUGGAACUGAGACACGGUCCAGACUCCUACGGGAGGCAGCAGUAGGGAAUAUUGCGCAAUGGGCGAAAGCCUGACGGAGCAACGCCGCGUGAGUGAUGAAGGUCUUCGGAUCGUAAAACUCUGUUAUUAGGGAAGAAGAUAGGUGUAAGUAACUGUGCACAUAUUGACGGUACCUAAUCAGAAAGCCACGGCUAACUACGUG